CAGCAAAAUUGUAAACAAGAUAGAAUUCUGAACCUAGAGUAGGGAAGACCUGAGUUCAAGUGUGGUCUCUGGCACUUACUAGCUGUGUAACUGUGCAAUUCACUUAGUCUCUGUUUGCCUCAAUUUUCUCAACUGGAAAAUGAGGAUAAUAAUAGCACCUAUUACCAGGGCUGUUUUGAUGAACAAGUGAGAAAAUAAUUGUAAAAUGCUUAGCAUAGUGCCUGGCACAUAGGAGAUGCUUAAUAAAUGCUUCUUUCUUCCCUUCCUCCCUCCCUCCCAUCCUUCCUCUUUCCCUUCCUCACUCUCUCCACUCUUUCCUUCUCUUCUUUCCUUCCUCCCUCCCUUCCUUCUUCCCUCCUUUCCUUUCUUCUUUCCUUCCUCCCUCCCAUCUGUUCUUCCUCCCUCUCUCCCUCCUGCCCUUCCUCUUUCCUUCUCUCCCCCCUGUCCUUCCUCCCUCCCCUUCCUGUCUUCUUUCCUUCCUCCCUCCCAGCUGUUCUUCCUCUCUCCUCUCCCUCCUGUUCUUCCUCUCUCCUUCUCUCCCUCCUGUUCUUCCCUCUUUCCCUCCCUCUGUUCUGCCCAUGGCCGCUAAUGAGCUGACUCCCUCCUCCCCAGAAGGCAGGUUCUAGACAGGUGUACAGGAAGGUUUCUGUGUGCCCCGGACCCUGCCCAUUCUGGCCUCUCAACUCCUUCAUGGCACCCUAGGACACCCUACCUGGCCUGGAAGCUGGCCUUCCUCCCGGCCCCCCCCCCUUCCCUGUACCCACUGAUCACCAGCGUUGAGACGUGCCUCGGGUGGGGGUGGGGAGCAGAAUGCCGAUAUUGUUCGCUGGGAACUGAACACCCCUCAGCAUCAGCAUCGCUGCUCCCACAUUCUGGAGCUGCUUUGGUCAUGCAUGUUUGCAUAUGUUAAAAAUAUUUAGUCCGCUGCUAAAAAAAAUAUUAUGCCCCGGAAUUUGGGCCAGCAAAGUAUAAUGCCACCAAUGUGUCUGGCGGAGGGGAAGGCCCCAAGCACAGAGUAGCAUUCUCCCGCUCACAUUCGAGCCUUGCCCGGCUUGGCCCUCUUCCACCUCUGGGUAUUCAGCAAAGAGCGUUCCCUGGGGGAGAUACGUGGGCUUAUUCAGGAAGCCUGAAGACUCAAGGCCCUUCCCCUCCUCUGUUCCCAGCUGCAAGCUUGGAGACAACUUGCUGUCACUGGAAGCGGAUUUUCUCUGGGCUUCCUGAGGCUUAGUUCCCCGCUCUGUGCAAAUGAGGAAAUUAAAAGGACACUAACACCAAAACUAGCCUGGAGGAGAAGUGGGGCCAAAGGGGGAGACUGAAAGUCUACAUAACUCACCAUUAUAAUGGUUAAGAAGAACUUUGUCUACACCAGACACUUUGUAUGGCAUUUUAUAUAGCCUCAUUUAUUUCUCUCUGAAAUAGCUCCUGAACGUGGCUUAUCCCCACUUUACAGAUGAGAAAACUGAGGGAAUACGCAAUUUAUUUUUUAUUAAACUCUUCCCUUCCAUCUUAAAAUCAAUACUGUGUAUUGGUUCCAAAGCAGAAGAGUGAUAAAAGGACUAGGCAAUGGGGGUUAAGUGACUUGCCAGGGU
ensembl:lncRNA